AGCAGCCGCGCGGGAAUACGAAGGGUGCAAGCGUUACUCGGAAUUACUGGGCGUAAAGCGUGCGUAGGUGGUGGUUUAAGUCCGUUGUGAAAGCCCUGGGCUCAACCUGGGAAUUGCAGUGGAUACUGGGUCACUAGAGUGUGGUAGAGGAUAGUGGAAUUUCCGGUGUAGCAGUGAAAUGCGUAGAGAUCGGAAGGAACAUCUGUGGCGAAGGCGACUAUCUGGGCCAACACUGACACUGAGGCACGAAAGCGUAGGGAGCAAACAGGAUUAGAUACCCGCGUAGUCCCUGUCUCUUAUACA
rnacentral:rRNA from 1 species